rnacentral:lncRNA from 1 species
UGAAGUUUAUUUUAAUGACCUCAACAGUCAACACCCUCUCUUCCAGUAUCCCUAAAACAACAACCACAUAAAAUUAUUUUUACAUGGAAAAUACAUGAAAAGUGGAUCACAAAGGCAGAUGAGGAACCAAUACAAGACUCGGUAACUCACUUAACCAAGAAUAUUUUCUAGGAAGGACUUCAUCAUACCACGUAGGACACUGUCUAUUGCUGCCAUCAAGUAAUGCCUACAUAGUAUAUUUUAUUCGCAUCAGCACCAGCCUGUAUAAAUAAAUUAUAAUUUAUUUGAGAAGUGCGUGAGAUGCCGUUUGCAGAAAAUGUAUGCACCAAGAAAUGAAGUUGUGUCUACACUACAUACUGAAGGAAGCUCCAUAAAUGAACAAAGAUUAAGAAGUGAUGCUUCAUAAAAAUAGCAAGAACUACUCAAACAGUAUACACACAUAUUAAACAAAAACCAUGUUUUUUAGCUAUUUCUUCAAACUACGGAAAUAAAAUUGCUAGGUGUAGAUCCUCCUUUAUGAUGAGCUUAUUUCUAAUUACAAUUUAUUUAAUUCAAGGAAGUUCUCUAUGUAAAGCUUAGAAUGAACAUCCACAUUUGCGAAUUGCCAGAAUGAACGUUCUCUGAUGUCUGAUUCUAAGAGGCGAACAAGUUGUCUGGUGUGUCCCAGGUUAGUGGAUAACCUCAAACAAAUUGACCUAGCAUCCAUACACACAUCCGGUGGAGACCCAUUCUUAAUAUUUGUCAUGUUCACUGGGCGGAGACUCUGCUACAUGAGAACGAUAGCGUGUUUUUCGUCAGCUAAAAAAUUCCCUAAACCAAUAUACAAGAAUAUAAAGUGCAAGAUAACUUUCAAGCAAUCAAACUGAGUCGCACCAUGGCUGGAGAAGUAAAAACCUGCAUCGAGGCUGAAGAUGCUCCUCUCGUCGAGGUCAAGAACGAGAUCCGCGAGGAGGAGGACUCAGGCUUCCUCCGCUUCCCGUGGGCUGCUUCAUCCCCGCGGUGCAGGAAGAUAUGUGAUGAACUGCCG